rnacentral:rRNA from 1 species
AACGAACGCUGGCGGCAUGCCUAACACAUGCAAGUCGAACGAGACCUUCGGGUCUAGUGGCGCACGGGUGCGUAACGCGUGGGAAUCUGCCCUUGGGUUCGGAAUAACAGUUGGAAACGACUGCUAAUACCGGAUGAUGACGUAAGUCCAAAGAUUUAUCGCCCAGGGAUGAGCCCGCGUAGGAUUAGCUAGUUGGCGGGGUAAAGGCCUACCAAGGCGACGAUCCUUAGCUGGUCUGAGAGGAUGAUCAGCCACACUGGGACUGAGACACGGCCCAGACUCCUACGGGAGGCAGCAGUGGGGAAUAUUGGACUAUGGGCGAAAGCCUGAUCCAGCAAUGCCGCGUGAGUGAUGAAGGCCUUAGGGUUGUAAAGCUCUUUUACCCGGGAUGAUAAUGACAGUACCGGGAGAAUAAGCCCCGGCUAACUCCGUG